rnacentral:snRNA from 1 species
GCCUAAUUACCCGUCUUAUAACAUUGGAAAAAUACAGAGAAGAUUAGCGUGGCCCCUGCGCAAGGAUGACACGUACAAAUUGAGAAAUGGUUCUAUUAUGG